rnacentral:rRNA from 1 species
UGAGGAAUAUUGGUCAAUGGGCGAAAGCCUGAACCAGCCAUGCCGCGUGCAGGAUGACUGCCCUAUGGGUUGUAAACUGCUUUUAUACAGGAAUAAACCCCCGGACGUGUCCGGGGCUGAAGGUACUGUAAGAAUAAGGAUCGGCUAACUCCGUGCCAGCAGCCGCGGUAAUACGGAGGAUCCAAGCGUUAUCCGGAUUCAUUGGGUUUAAAGGGUCCGCAGGCGGGGUAUUAAGUCAGUGGUGAAAGCCGGCAGCUUAACUGUCGAAUUGCCAUUGAUACUGGUACUCUUGAGUGUAGUUGAAGUAGGCGGAAUAAGUCAUGUAGCGGUGAAAUGCAUAGAUAUGACUUAGAACACCGAUUGCGAAGGCAGCUUACUAAGCUAUUACUGACGCUCAUGGACGAAAGCGUGGGGAGCGAACAGG